rnacentral:rRNA from 1 species
UACGGGGGGGAGCAAGCGUUGUUCGGAUUUACUGGGCGUAAAGGGCGCGUAGGCGGCGUGACAAGUCACUUGUGAAAUCUCCGGGCUUAACUCGGAACGGUCAAGUGAUACUGUCGGACUAGAGUACAGAAGGGGCAACUGGAAUUCCCGGUGUAGAGGUGAAAUUCGUAGAUAUCGGGAGGAACACCAGUGGCGAAGGCGGCGAUCUGGGCUGAUACUGACGCUGAGGUGCGAAAGCGUGGGGAGCAAACAGG